UGGGCAACCUGCCCUAGGGAGCGGGACAACCCGAGGAAACUCGGGCUAAUACCGCAUGAUUCGCCGAGCCUCAAGGCUCGGCGGGAAAUGGUAGCUUCGGCCUCCGCCCUAGGAUGGGCCCGCGGCGCAUUAGCUUGUUGGUGGGGUAACGGCUCACCAAGGCGACGAUGCGUAGCUGGUCUGGAGAGGACGAUCAGCCACACGUGGGACUGAGACACGGCCCAGACCUCCGUAGGAG
rnacentral:rRNA from 1 species